rnacentral:tRNA from 1 species
GGAGGGCUAGACCUAAUUGGUAAGGCAGCGGUCUUGAAAACCGCCGGGUUUAACCGCCCUUGAGGGUUCGAGUCCCUCGCCCUCCGCCA